UAAUGUUACAGCACUUUUAGAAUUUGUCUAGUAGGUUUUCCAGUUUGUACCAAAAACUCCA
rnacentral:snRNA from 1 species